rnacentral:rRNA from 1 species
UACAGAGGUCUCAAGCGUUGUUCGGAUUCAUUGGGCGUAAAGGGUGCGUAGGUGGCGAGGUUAGUCAGGUGUGAAAUCUCGGGGCUCAACCCCGAAACUGCACUUGAUACUGCCUUGCUAGAGUACUGGAGAGGAGAUUGGAAUUUACGGUGUAGCAGUGAGAUGCGUAGAUAUCGUAAGGAAGACCAGUGGCGAAGGCGAAUCUCUGGACAGUUACUGACACUGAGGCACGAAGGCCAGGGGAGCAAACGGG